AGCAGUCGCCGCGGGAAAACGUAGGUGGCAAGCGUUGUCCGGAAUUAUUGGGCGUAAGGCGCGCGCAGGCGGAUCAGUCAGUCUGUCUUAAAAGUUCGGGGCUUAACCCCGUGAGGGGAUGGAAACUGCUGAUCUAGAAUAUCGGAGAGGAAAGUGGAAUUCCUAGUGUAGCGGUGAAAUGCGUAGAUAUUAGGAAGAACACCAGUGGCGAAGGCGACUUUCUGGACGAAAACUGACGCUGAGGCGCGAAAGCCAGGGGAGCGAACGGGAUUAGAGACCCGUGUAGUCCCUGUCUCUUAUACA
rnacentral:rRNA from 1 species